CCCAUCAUGUCCCUCCAGCAGGAUUUUGCACACGGAAAUUGGCUUGGCCUUGCACAAGGAGGAAGCUAGAAUGUUCUCUACUCUCACUGAGCCCAGGUCUACACACACACACACACACACACACACACACCCCACACACCACACCGGCUGCUCUAGGAAGGAAAUGGCACAUGGCACUUUCUGAGCUGUCUGGGCCAAAGCCUGCCCACAGGAUCCAUAUCUCAGAUUUCAUCUUCAUGAAGUAUUCAGUGAGUGCUCCCUAGAGCUUCUGUGAGUGGCAGAGGCUGUCCUUCCUGGCGUUCCUCUCUGCCUGCAGAUCCCUGUGCCCACAUCUCUCUCUACCUCUCCCAUCCCCAUCUCGUCCUCUCUAGGGGCUGCUGUCACUGUCUUUGCCUUUUGCUCCUCCUUCCCCAUUUGCAUGCCCAGAGGUCUUUCUCGGUGGCCGUCCUCUUCCAACCUGCAUGUGGGCCUCCCUCACUGCUGCUGUCACCCCUGCCCGGGAGGUGAGGGUUCUAUCCUUCAGAGGCAUCCCAGGGCCAUGGGCCUGUCUAGCUCUCUUCUGCUUUGCCUUGCAGAGCGCCGUGUGCCUGGGCAGGGAGAGUCCUCGGGACUGUGGGAACCAGACGUCCUGUGCAGAAGAGCCGCACCCACCAGGGUGCCCAGAGGGUGGACUCUGCCCUGGCUCACCACCAGCUCCCUGUCCCCCUGGGACUUUCCUCUCCGGAGCAGGGCCCCACGACACCCCCCUCUGUCACCCCUGCCCUCGAGGAUUCUUCAACCACUGGCCUGGUCAGGAUGCCUGUUUUCCCUGUGGUUCAGAGGCCACCCAGCCAGAGGAUGGCAAGGACACAUGUGUGUGCCUGAGGCCUGGCCGAGUGUUCCAGCCCAGCGAUGGGCAGUGCCCCUGCCUCCCAGGCCACCAAGAUGUUGGAGAGCCAAGGGGCUGUGUCCAGCGGGAACAUGAGAGCUGCAAGGAUGGGGCCACCUUGAACCAAGAGGGGCUAUGUUUGACCAAGGAUCAGUGGAGUAACCACUGUGCCCAGGAGGUGUGUGCCACACCAGGAGAUGCCCAUGGCUAUGACCCAGGCCUGGGGCUCUGUCUGUGCUGGGGACAACACUCAAGUGGAAUGUGUGGUCUCCUGUGCCCAGAGGGACAGAGACACGUCCUGCAGCUCAGCUGCUCUGAGGGCAUCCCACAGAUUUCCAUCACUGAAGGCACGGGGAGCCAGGAACUCUACCUUCUGGACAGGCCUUCCUCACCACGUGCUGUAGGCCACCCCUGCAACUUAGACCAAAGGCAGAAGCCAGUCCCUCUGUAUGUGGUCAGGAUGGAUGGGACUGGGUUCCUGGGCCUAAUCAGACCAGGUCAUGAGCUACUGCACUCCCUUGGCUUGUUCCUCAGGGAUCCCGGGCCCCCAGGCCACGAUGCAGGAAAGUCAAGUGGAGGAUAUCGGAGUUCUUCUUGGUCAGCGAGCCUCAACACAAGCCAUGGGGAUCUGUUGCCCCCAGAGCCAGGCAUCCAAAACCCCACAGUCUGCCUCCAAAUCAAUGAUACACUUGCCUUCCUGGUGACCCAUGAGCAUUACCCUGAGUAUGACCUAGGCCACUUCUAUAACACACUGGGGAAAUUUGACUGGGGCCGCUUCCGGGCCAUCCCUGAGGAGUUCCGGCUCCACAAUCAAGAACCCUACCUCUUUCUGCAGCAGUUCCAGCAGCCUGGGGUCUAUGUCUUUCGUCUGAGCAGCAACAGGCAUCGGAAGAUGUACAUCCGCACCCUCCCACCAGGGGGCCGGUGCUUCAGAGAAGGGCCCUUCGCCUCCACGACUCCCAGGUAUCUCAUCCAAACUGGCAUCGCCAAGAUUCCCAGACCCCUGAAGAGGUCUGACUGGCCACAAGUCCUGGGGGAGACUGUCCUGCUCCUGGGGUUCAGCCUGAUGCUCUUGAUUCAGUGUCACAGCCUGAGCUGGGCCCGGAAGGCCACUCCGAACCCCACCUUCAGGACGCAUCAGCAAGGGUACAACCUGGAUGCCUACACUUCCCAAAGAGCUGGGUUGACAUCAGUGAGGAGAGGUCGACAACACCAAGACUCUGAUACCCCCACAGUUGAGGGAGACCAUGGUGGGCCCUGGGAGGCCCAGGAACAGGUAGACCUGGAGUGGUUUGACCCAGAACGCUUCUUUUCAAUCCUGCUCAGGCAGUCUCUGUCGGUGACAACGAAAAUCAGCCAGAUGAAGGAAGAGGGGAAUCCCCCAGCUGGAUGCCACGCUGGGCAGCUUGUCCCAGGCUGUGCUGCAGGAGGGCCACCGCCUGAGAGCCUGGGGCGCCCUGGGUGCCGCCACUGGGGCAGAGCUGCUGCGGCCAGGCAGCAUCCGAACAUCAGAAGCGGCCAUCCUCCCCUACGUGCCCUACCCAACCUGUCCUGCCACAGGCUGCCCUCCUGCCACCCGCUUGCCCAUCCUGCAGCCGAGAAGGACAUCACAGCUGGGGGCUCUCAUGACAGACCCCGCAACCGGCAUUGA
rnacentral:lncRNA from 12 species